rnacentral:rRNA from 1 species
CCCCUAGUAACUGCGAGUGAAGCGGGAAGAGCUCAAAUUUAAAAUCUGACAGUCUUUGGCUGUUCGAGUUGUAAUCUAGAGAAGUGUUAUCCGCGCUGGACCGUGUACAAGUCUCCUGGAAUGGAACAUCAUAGAGGGUGAGAAUCCCGUCUUUGACACGGACUACCAGGGCUUUUGUGAUACGCUCUCAAAGAGUCGAGUUGUUUGGGAAUGCAGCUCUAAAUGGGUGGUAAAUUCCAUCUAAAGCUAAAUAUUGGCGAGAGACCGAUAGCGAACAAGUACCGUGAGGGAAAGAUGAAAAGAACUUUGGAAAGAGAGUUAAACAGUACGUGAAAUUGUUGAAAGGGAAACGCUUGAAGUCAGUCGCAUUGGCUAGGGAUCAACCUUGCUUCUUUGCUUGGUGUACUUCCUAGUUGAUGGGCCAGCAUCAAUUUUGACCAGUGGAUAAAGGUCAAGGGAAUGUGGCAUCUCUGGAUGUGUUAUAGCCUUUGAUUGUAUACAUUGGUUGGGAUUGAGGAACUCAGCACGCCACAAGGCCGGGUUUCGACCACGAUCGUGCUUAGGAUGCUGGCAUAAUGGCUUUAAUCGACCCGUCUUGAAACACGGACCAAGGAGUCUAACAUGCCUGCGAGUAUUUGGGUGGCAAACCCAUGUGCGUAAUGAAAGUGAAGAUCAGGAUCUCUGUCAUGGAGAGCACUGAUGCCCGGACCAGACCUUUUGUGACGGAUCUGCGGUAGAGCAUGCAUGUUGGGACCCGAAAGAUGGUGAACUAUGCCUGAAUAGGGUGAAGCCAGAGGAAACUCUGGUGGAGGCUCGUAGCGAUUCUGA